rnacentral:rRNA from 1 species
AGCUCCAGUAGCGCAUAUUAAAGUUGUUGCAGUUAAAAAGCUCGUAGUUGGAUUUCUGAUUGACUGUUUUAGCCGCUUUCCUUGGAAAGUGAGCGCUGAGAUAAGUUGCUCAUCCUUGUAAGUUGCCGAGCCUGCUCUUCAUUGAGUUAGGCUUGUGCGAUUUACAUCUUCUACUUGGAGAAAUUAGAGUGUUUCAAGCAGGCUUACGCUUUGGAUACAUGAGCAGGGAAUAAUAAUAUAAGACUUUGGUUCUAUUU